AUGGUUUCCGCCCACCUCCGCGGCCCACGCCGCCUGGGCGCCACCCGGUGGCACAUGCACUCUUAGGCAGCCGCGCCCUCUGCCCUGUUGCCACCUAAUCUCCGGCAGCGUCGGUUUAGCUAGGGACUCGGUGCUUCUGCGGGCGGAACUCAGUGGCUGUAUUAUUAGAGCCCAUUAAACGACCCAUAAACAUAGUUCAGAGCUGCUGGGGAGGAGAAAAGCCAAAGGAUGCCGCCCUCCCGACCUACACCACUCCACCUGGAGGACGGGUGGGACAGAUAGCCCAUGUUCCAGGAAAAAUACCAGCGAGGCCGCCGGGGGUCCUGGUGGAGGCAUCGCAGUGUGCCUCUAGGCCAGGUGUGAUAGAUGCUGCUGAGAAAAACGUCCCUCUCAUCCCUUUACACAUCCCACUUCCUACACAGAUAGACAGAACUGAGGACAUUCAUCGACCACAUUUUACUAAUGGCAAGGAGACUGACUUAAGAGCAAGAACCCAGGCCUCCCUGUCAUUUAUUUCUAGUCAACUUUGAGGUUAAUUUUCCUAAAUGGCACGUCUGAGGAAUUAACCCUGUGGUUAUGACAAAAUUCUCAUAGGAAAGCAAACUUGGUAAGGUAAGAGAACUAUGAAGACUCAUAUAGAGAACUUCAGAGAUGUGAAUUAGCUACUCAACCCAUCUAUUAAUCUGUCCUGAUUGCAAUUUAAAGCAAAAAGAAUGAAACCAUUACAGAGAAAAGGAUCCACAAGGACUGAUCUAAAACAGGAGUCGGGAAGAGGAGAGUACCAUUAAAUUAUCAUCAUGCCAAAUGGAAAAUAAACUAGUUCAUGGGC